CAUGGGUCCGUUCCAAAUGAUGGUGUUGGUGGUAUCCAGGGCUUCAUUAAAUGUCUUGCUCGCGUCGGGUCCGAUGUCGAGACCCAUCCAGCCAUCUGGAAUUUCCGACGCUUGUACGACCUACAAAACAAAAGGGCGCUAAGAAACUCAUUUCUACUCACAAUCAAAGCCAGCCGCUCCUGGAGCAUUUCGGGCUUUUGCUUCUCAAGUAGAGAAGUUUCAAAAGUGCAGUGAAAUUGAUGCAGCUGAGGAUAAUAGCGACAAAGCAAGUUCACUGAAGCUGUCAAUAUCACUACAGGUUUCGAAACCCGGGUCAAAGAAGCCCUAGAAUAUCAGAAGGAAAAGAGAAAAGACGACUUCAGUGGAGGAACAAACCUUGC